GCCAGACUCCUACGGGAGGCAGCAGUGGGGAAUAUUGGGCAAUGGGCGAAAGCCUGACCCAGCAACGCCGCGUGAAGGAAGAAGGCUUUCGGGUUGUAAACUUCUUUUGACAGGGAAGAGCAGAAGACGGUACCUGUCGAAUAAGCCACGGCUAACUACGUGCCAGCAGCCGCGGUAAUACGUAGGGGGCAAGCGUUAUCCGGAUUCACUGGGUGUAAAGGGAGCGUAGACGGCGACGCAAGUCUGGAGUGAAAGCCCGGGGCCCAACCCCGGGACUGCUCUGGAAACUGCGUCGCUGGAGUACGGGAGGGGCAGGCGGAAUUCCUGGUGUAGCGGUGAAAUGCGUAGAUAUCAGGAGGAACACCGGUGGCGAAGGCGGCCUGCUGGACUGCAACUGACGUUGAGGCCCGAAAGCGUGGGGAGCAAACAGGAUUAGAUACCCCGGUAC
rnacentral:rRNA from 1 species